GGCGGACGGGUGAGUAACGCGUGAGAAUCUGCCUUCAGGAUGGGGACAACAGUUGGAAACGACUGCUAAUACCCAAUAUGCCUACGGGUGAAACUUAUUUGGCCUGAAGAUGAGCUCGCGUCUGAUUAGCUAGUUGGUGGUGUAAAAGACUACCAAGGCGACGAUCAGUAGCUGGUCUGAGAGGAUGAGCAGCCACACUGGGACUGAGACACGGCCCAGACUCCUACGGGAGGCAGCAGUGGGGAAUUUUCCGCAAUGGGCGAAAGCCUGACGGAGCAAUACCGCGUGAGGGAGGAAGGUUUUUGGAUUGUAAACCUCUUUUCUCAGGGAAGAAUUUUGACGGUACCUGAGGAAUAAGCACCGGCUAACUCCGUGCCAGCAGCCGCGGUAAUACGGAGGGUGCAGGCGUUAUCCGGAAUUAUUGAGCGUAAAGAGUCCGUAGGUGGUCAUGCAAGUCUGCUGUCAAAGCCCACAGCUUAACUGUGGAUCGGCGGUGGAAACUGCAUGACUUGAGUACGGUAGGGGUAGAGGGAAUUCCCAGUG
rnacentral:rRNA from 1 species